AGUGAACGCUGGCGGUAGGCCUAACACAUGCAAGUCGAACGGCAGCACAGUAAGAGCUUGCUCUUACGGGUGGCGAGUGGCGGACGGGUGAGGAAUACAUCGGAAUCUACUUUUUCGUGGGGGAUAACGUAGGGAAACUUACGCUAAUACCGCAUACGACCUACGGGUGAAAGCAGGGGAUCUUCGGACCUUGCGCGAUUGAAUGAGCCGAUGUCGGAUUAGCUAGUUGGCGGGGUAAAGGCCCACCAAGGCGACGAUCCGUAGCUGGUCUGAGAGGAUGAUCAGCCACACUGGAACUGAGACACGGUCCAGACUCCUACGGGAGGCAGCAGUGGGGAAUAUUGGACAAUGGGCGCAAGCCUGAUCCAGCAAUACCGCGUGGGUGAAGAAGGCCUUCGGGUUGUAAAGCCCUUUUGUUGGGAAAGAAAAGCAGCAGGUUAAUACCCCGCUGCUCUGACGGUACCCAAAGAAUAAGCACCGGCUAACUUCGUG
rnacentral:rRNA from 1 species